rnacentral:miRNA from 1 species
ACACCCUUCCUGAGCCCUCCCCA